CACUAGGAGAAAACGUUAGUAGUAGCUAAGAAGAAAUGUGUUUAUUUAGUUAAUAAUAAAAUUGUUUUUAUGUACCUUGAGGAAAACGUAAACAAUUUUUCAAAUAACAAAAUAAAUAGUGCCAUUAUAAAUAUUCUCUUCUCUUAUUUAUUUAUAAAUAAGAGAUGUUAAAAACGUACCCACGCAAAUUUCACGCACAUUAUAGAAAAAAUAAUAUUAAUUUUAAAUACUCACACGUACAUAAGAGAAAAUAUAAUAAUGUUGAAACUAGAUAAAUAAAUUGAGUAUAUUUCCGCUUUUUUUAUUAACUUGAAUGCACAAAACCUAUAUACGCAUAUGUGUACGUGUUUAAUAAUCAAUGCUGAUAUUCACUUUAAGUAUUUAUCAAUAUUACAAAUAUAAAUCAAUUUUCUCAUAAUGGCUAAUAAUAACUAAAAUGUUUAUACAAUUUCAAGAAACGUAAGUAAAUAAAACAUCUCUUUCACAAAACAAUGUAACUACAAGUUUACAAAUAUAUAGCGAUACUUAGAAAGUGAACUUUGUUUUAAUAAAAUAACUAAAAUUUGUUUAGUUUCACAAAUUUAUGAAAAACUCACUCUUUUCCAACUCAAUUUUUCGAUAUCUGUAAGUAGUAUGUAAAUAUUCGUACAAACAUAUUCAUAUAUAUAUUUAUAUAUACCAAGCAGAAUGAUCCAGUUCAGUGUUAUCCUUCAAAAAGAGCAGAUGUAUUUUGUUCACACUUCGAAGGUGAUAUACAGUACACAAUUACGAUAAUUUUCAAGUAUAGAUACUAUAGCUAGUGUAUACUUCCCGUGCAGCAAGGAAAUCUAAAUGGAAAUGAAGCAAAAUAUACAACCAAUUAUGGGAAAUGACUAUGUACAACAAAAAAUUAAUCGUAUUAUAUUCGAUAUCAGAAUGCAAGUUGACUUGUGCUAAAUAAUUGAAACGGACGCAGAGAUAUCUAUAAUAUCCAGAAUGUCAGACAAAAGACUCAGGAAAAGGAAAGUUACUACUAAAAAAAGUAAUACCAAUAGUUACUACGAAUAACAACAAUCUUUAAAGUAUCAACAUCUAAAAAAUGGUUAAUAAAUUCCAAUAUCUUAUUCACCAAUUGAUGCAAUACUUCAUAAAACAUAUAACCGAAUAACAGUGAAACAAACUUGUUCUUAAGCAAAGAACCGUUAAGCGAAGACUCCUCCACUAUUUAUUCAAGCCAACAUUGUAUAUACAUUAAUCGAAGUUCUUAACAAAUCUGUCAAGGAUACAUAUAACUAUAAAACCAAUAACCAACAGAUAAAAAAACAGGCUUCAGUCAUGGAUAUAUAUUGUUAAAUUAUUAAAACUUUAAAAACUCAAAAUACUAGCAACUAUAUAUUUCAACCAAAAGAGGAAAGGAGGUAUAAGGGAAGGAUCAAAGGUUUACAUUAUACCACUUCCAUUAAACAAAUCAAGCAAGAGCUGUAUUUUCAAGGACAUACAGCAUUGCACAAUAAAUGAUGACUCAAUUCAAACUAGUCAUGGAACUUCUAACAAAAUUAGUAACCAAAGAUGGAUAAGUUCAAAGUAAUAUUAUGCAAUUGUAAUAUUCUCCAGCUAAAAAUCGACGAACUCAACAACAUUUUUCUCAAUCCACGACAUUGAUAUAUUUUUGCUACUAAAGACACAUAAAAUAGAUAAAUCCUAUUACAAAAUACACAGAUACCAGACUUAUAUAACUCCUUCUGCAACGGGCAGAGCAUGUGGAGGCACUACUAUUUUCAUCAGAAACACAAUUACAUACAUGCCGAUUAACAGCACACAAAUGGAUUAGAUGCAAACAACAUCUAUAACAGUGAUGAUAAAUAAGAUCCAAAUAACAUUCAUCUUUAAUUACAUCCCCCUUGCUAAAAAGGUCACAAUACAGAACUUUGAAUCUCUUUUACUAUGACACAGGAAAUACAUAAUCGCCGGCGAUUUCAAUGGCAAGUACACAGAUUGGGGUUCUAGAUUAGUAAUAGCAAGAGGUUUUGUAAUUAGAAAUAUCAUUGAAAUUCGCAAUAGCAAAUUACAGAACACUAGUAUCCUCAAUACACACAACUGACAAUCAUUUAUUGGUUCUGAUGAAAAUUAACUUACGACUACCCUAUAAACAACCUACCAUGUUAAUUACAAAACUAACCAACUGGGAUGGAUUCAGAGAUAUGAUCGAAUCCACACUUAUCUGUAAUGUCAGAUUUAAAACCACCAAAGAUAUUAACACUGCACUUGAAGAUUUCACGAUCAUUCUUCAAACGACUGUAUAUAGAAACACACUAGCUACCAAACAAUUAGUACAUGAAACUGAAAAAUUCCCAAACAUAUUUUACAAUCGAUAAAAGAAAGGAGGCUAGCCAUUAAACUUUGGAAAAGAAAUAAGAACAGACAUGAUAAAGCAAGAAUAAACUAUUUAAUACAACAAAGAAGAAAACACAUGCACAUGUUUUGAAAUCUAACAUUUCAAUACUAUUUAGAACAUAUGUAUGAACAGGAAAACCUUGUGGAGAACUAUCAAGAACCUCAAAACACAACACCAAAGAUAAGCAUUCCUAGUUGGAAUGACAGAAAUGGUGAAAGAAUCACCAAUUCAACAAAAAUUCUAAAAGUAGCACAUUAUAUUCAAUUAGGGAUUUAUACGAAUAGUAGAAAUCCUGGCUAUUAAUAUCAACCUGAAAUAAUACAACUAAGUACAAUGUUUAAGGAAAUCAAAGAUUUAGUCAAUAAGCUUAAUCCCAAGAAAGUAUCUUGAGUAAAUCUAAUAACUGGAAAACUCCUACAACUAUAUACUGAUAAAACAAGUAGAUACCUAACCAUCCUGUAUAAUGCAAUGUAAAACUAAGCUACUUCCCCACAGCAUGAAAAUGUGCAAAAAUUAUAUUAAUAUUAAAACCAGGACAUCACCAAUUACAUUGGCUAACUAUAAACCCAUAUCUCUCCUUUCAACUAUGUCUAAAAUCCUGGAAAAGAUUUUUUUAAGAAUAUAAUGACAAAUACCAAAAUAUCAUCCCAAACCAUCAAUUCAGAUUCAGGAAAUACCACGGAACUAUCGAACAAGUCCACAAAGUAUUCAACAAAAUAGCAUACGCCUUCUUGAACAAAGAGAUCUGCAAUUGUCCUUUUUGACCUAGAGAAAGCUGUCAACAAAAUACUGCAUGAUAAACUAAUCCAAGACCUCCAAGACAAAUUACUAGUGGAUAUAUCAUCAAUCAUAAUUAACUAUCUCGUUAAUAGAAUAUUUUUCAUUGAUGCCCUGAAAAAGAUAUCGGACGUAUGUAGAUAUCAAUAGACAAUGUCACAGAAAAGUAUUGGCCCAAUUUCUAUUUUUUAUCUAUAUAAUCGCCAUCCUAAAUAAGAAAUAAUAUCCUCACAUUUGAAGAUGAUACGAUUCGUAUACAUAAUGAAAACAACCAAGACUCAUUACAAAAGCUCCAAUAAGACCUUCUCCAAUUUCCAGAAUGGAUCACUAGUAAGGGUAUUAAAAUUAAUACGACUAAAAGUUGAUACGUACAGUUUACUCGCAACAAAAAUGACCCAACAUUUAUUAAACUAAACAAUGAAUCCAUUCCGGUUAAAACUGUAAUUACGUAUCUAGGAAUGGUCUUGGAUAAAAAGUUUACAUGAAAACCGCACAUACACCUAAUCAGAAUGAAAAUUUACACAAUACUUAAUAAAAUAUGAUGACUCAUAUGGCAUUAGCCCCGACUAUGUACUAAGAACAAAACUGUAUAAAGUCUUAAUAAAUGGACAUAUGAUAUAACAUUAUGGAGCACAGUUGCAAAAUCCAAUGAAGUCAAAAUAAAAGGGUUACAAAUCAAUGUUAUGAAAAAAAUACUAAACGCCCCUUGGGGAACCAGUACCAACAACAUAGAGACUGCAUUCUCAAUCAAUUGAGAUGAUGAUAUAGAAGCAACUCUCAAUCAAUUUUGAGAUUAUUAAAUAUUGAGAACGUUACUGGGAAAGAUUAGAAAAACAUCCAAACCUCACUAUACUCGAUUGUUUUCAAAAACUACCAAAUGAAAGAAGAUUAAGGUAAAGUAUCCACUGGACAGCUACCUUUCAACUACGUUUUAAUCAAUGGACUAGGGGAGAUAGAAGAAUAAGAACCUAAUAUUACUUUUACGAAGCAUCAGAAUUCCUUAAAUAUUUAGCUGUAAGAAUCAUUCUAUACCAAAAAUAUAAUAACUCCUUUGUAGUUAUACGUGAUAAUAAACGAUAUUUGAAAGAAAGAAAGAAAGAGCAGAAUGAUCCGAUAAGCAUUGGAGUGUAUAAAGUUUGCAUUCACGCCUUGUGCGAAUAUACAAUCAUAAAAACCAAUAUGCAUAUCGUUGCACUAAUAAGUGUUCAACGUUGAUAUGUAAAAAAUGCAAGAUGCAUUAUAAAUAUUCUGAAACUGUUGAUUAAUGCAAGAAAGAGAAACAGAGAGAAAAAAAAGAGAAACUCAUUUUUUGAAAUUUUACAGAAAGUGUUCAAUUCUUUCUUCUUUGUUUCUUAUCAAAAUAAUUAUUUUAUCAUUCAUAUUUCUCUUUGAAUGUAAUUAUGAAGUUUAAUCCUUUAUUAAAUUGAUUUCUCAAAUGCACACGAUUCAGAAAUAAAUAAAAGAAAGAAAAUAACUGAGAAAGUACGAAAAAUUAUUUGACAAGAAAUAAUGAAAUAAAUAAAAUUAAAAAAAAACUAUAAAAAAUAAAGAAAAACUAUUUAGGAGUAUAAGCAAUAUUUUGUUACAUUACAUAUUCUAUAUUUUUAAGUAUAUCUUCCUGCACCAAAUUACUAAUAAAUAUUAAAAUUAUUAUAUAUAUCCGUAUAGCAUCUGUUUAUAAACAGAAUUAAUGUAUACCUAAACAUGUAAAAAAAAAAUUCUUGACGAGAGACACUGUUGAGCCUCCAUUGGAUUAUUGUAAAUGAUUUGGCCAUGCAUAUUUGUAAAUCAAUUGCCAACACCAGAAAUUAAAUAAAAAAAAAACAAAUGUAAGAUAGUACGGGAUUUCACUAUGAAACUAUGUAUUAUACCUCCAUAUAUGUAUAUAAAACUAGAUGUAUAAUGAUACAAGAUAUAGCCUUAUUAAUUUUAUACACAUAUUGAAACGAAUAUUUAAUCAGAUUAGCUGCGAUGACGAGUUAACCCUCCAUAACGUCAUGUAAAUUUGAAGUCACAUACUAAAGUAUAGUGACAAGUAAAAGUGUAGCAUUUUUCUAAAAUUGGAGCACUAUGAACAAAAACAAGUGAGACUUUAUAGGAGAUCGCUACUAACACAGGGAUUUUGAUUCUAGAAGUUUAUCCGAACAGGCACAAGGACAAAAAGGCUUGUCAAGGCUUUAUUGAAACUAUUCGAGAUCCUCAUCUCAAAAAGAAUGUGGCUUUAACUAUCUCUAAGUGCCAAAUUUUAAAUUAAGUAUUAUAUAUUCGCUGAAAAACAUAUCAAUCAAUAAUUCCACUUUUAGGAACGAAAAGGAACAUCGAAUAUCUGAUGUUAAAAAAUUCUCAAGGACACAAGAAUCAACACGUGACAAGAGGAUGAAUCUGUAACACAAGAAUAGAGAAUGAUAUUCCACAAUGUUGGAGUUACGAAAAAACUGAUAAUUUCAGGAAUUAAGAUCCACAAGGAAGGAGAGAUUAUCAGAAACCAAACAGCGAUGCGGAUAUAAUAAGUAACGUGAUUCCACAGAACAUAGGUAAGCAGAAAAUGGAAAGGAGUGGAAAAAACGGAGGAGUAUGACCAGAUAAGAGUGCACAAUUUUUUUUAAAUGUUAUUUUCUUUGCAAAAAUCAUGUCUGCAAAUAAGUAAUUUCCAAGAGCAAUUUUCACACAAUUAAAAGCUUGUUUCAAAAAUCUUUAUUUCGUAUAGAAAACUGAUCUUUUCUUUAACUUAUACCUAUUUUAUAAGAAAUAGAAAUAUCAACUGAAAAAUGGAGAAACAAUCAAUAUUAACAAUUACUCAAUUUUCCACAGAGUUUCUGUUCGAAAUUAUGGUUUAAUUAUAUACAUAUAAUAAUUCACCCUUAUUUUACACAGAUUGGAUAAAACAGAUUAUUGCGUGAAGUUACCUUAUACAAAACAGAUAGAUAGCUUGUAUAGAAGAAAGAUAUACAAAAAUUAUAUGUGAACAAAGAACAUUACAAGAAUAAACAUCCGAAAUUAGUAAAAGAAAAGUUAAUAUCUUCAUUUAUUGUAAAAAAAUUCCAUAUAUUUAUGGAAUAAAAUAACUAAAAUUUUAACUGCAGUAAAUGACGCUACAAAAGAUUGGAAAGAUUGAUGUAAGAAAAAUUACAUUUCUACAAAUUUUGCAAAUCAGAAAAUUAAACUCUUUCUAUAAAUUUCCACAAACUUUCUUUCCAGUUCUGAGAUAAAAAAUAAAAGUAAAGAACAUUAUUAUUAAAAAUGCAUUAAAAACUGAAUUUUUAAACCACAACUUCAGCCAACUUCUAGUGAUAAUUUAUAUAAGUUUAUAUUUUGUUCCAACCACAAAUCACAUAUUUACAGGAAAUUACUCUUUCCCUGAAAUUGUAAGAACUCCAAGUGAGUUAGAUGUUAUCUGAAACCUGUUUAAAGACUACCCAUUUAAUAAAAAAUAUAAUUGCUCCGAUUUUACGCCACUGCACAAGAGAAAAAUUUAAUGUUGAGUUUACAAUUAAUUAUAAUUAAAUAUUUUCAACACUGUAAAUACUACAACGCAUGAAAAUCUAACUCAGUUUUUGUUUAUUAUAUUUCUAUUUAAUUAAUUAUUAAUAUUUCACCGUAAUAAAAACAUAUUUAUAAAAUCUAACUAAAGUACUAUUACGAACAUCAUAAUCAAGUAUUGAACUUCUUAACAAUAACUCUACCUUUGAUUUUAUUUUCGUUACAAAAGAUUAAGAAAAAAAUUUUGUACAAAAACUGUAUUUGUAAAAAACUGAACAUUAUUUGCUAAAGUGGGAAUUUGACUUCCAGAAAAUAGAACAUUGGUUAAAUUUUUCUCAAUAGUAAUUGUUAAUGUUGAAUUGGUUGAAUGUUUCUACUUCUUACAAUCAUAAUGGAUACGAUUAUAAUUCUAAGCAGGACAGAACUACUUGAACGAAUAUUAUAUUUACAGUGGCCAAUUAAUUUGUGCAAUUUAAGUUAUAAUAGUUAUAAUAAUUAUAAUAGUAAUAGUUAAAAUAGUAAAUAGAAUUUCAAUUUUAUCUAUUAAUGAAUGUUUUUAUUCCUGGCACAAUUUUCAAUCAAGCAGUAUAAAAGAACAUAUUCUGAUGAAGCAAUCUAUGGCAGCAACAGGAGAUAGUAAAUACAGAAGAAUUGAUAUCACAAAAAAAAGUCAUUAAUUAAAACAUUCAUAUUGUUCAUGAACAUCUAUAAGAUAUAACAAAAAAUCGGUAUAAAAGGAUUAAAAGACUCAAAAGAAAAAUUAAAAAAAAAAUGUCUCAAUUUUCUAAUUAUUUAUAUUAACUAAUAAAGUGAUAUAUAUACAUAUUUUGUAUAUUUAUUACACGCGCGAGUAUGUAUGCAUGUAUGUAUGUGUUUACACGAUAUUAUGUGAAGAAGGCAUAGUAGCAAUUUUUAUUAAAUAUGAUUUUAAUAGCAAAUGACCAUCAUGUUGACAUCGUAGGACAAAUAAUAAUUAGCAGUUAAACUGUUGAAGAACAGUAUUAGGCAUCAAGUCUAGUUCCCCGCGGUACAUUUACUUGUCUCUGCGUAAAAAGGGUAGAUUUAUUCGCUCGAUAAUAGUGCAUAAGCGUACUAAUAAAUGAAUAUUUUCGCAUUUAUUACCAUGUGGUUAAUUUCACAUUCAAAAUAAUGAAACCUUUUCUAGGUAUAUAAAAGUGAAAAAUCUCAGAUAAAAAUAAAUGUAUGUAUAAUCCGUUAUCUAAUAUAGCGACAAGCAUAAGAUGUAUAAUGCACCGUAUACAAUUACUAAUGCGCUAAUAAUAAUGAAAAAUGGGGAAAUCCAAACUUAAACCGAUUCUAACCCUUUUUUAUCCAUACGAAUAACAAAUGGCCAGAUACGUAGAUACGCAAAAAUUCGACGGGAAUUAAUAAAUUACUUUCUCAAAAGAUGUAUAUUCUGAACUAAAAAUUAAUUGUCUUACAGAGAUCUUAUUAGAUCCUACAGUCUAUAAUUCUACAGACUCUUUAUCUUUUAAAAAUUAUUCUGAUUCGACUUCUUUUUUUUUCAAAAGAAAUAUUUUCUCCUUCCUUUUAUCAAUAAUAACCCAGACUUCUUAUAUAGAAGUAUUACGUUAAUGAUAAUCUUCUAUGAUGCACUGAUCCUAAUAUACGAAAUAAGACGCAAAAGUUUUUACAGAUUUAUUACGAUCCUUUAAAAAAUACUGAUAAAAAAUACUAAUUUUUACAGUUUGUUAUAUUCUAAUAAAAUUAUGUAUUUAACUACUAUAAAAUUAAUGGGAUUUAGCUUCUUAUUAGAUCUGUAAACGAUAAAAUAGUGUGUGUGUGUGAGCACGUAAUAACUAGAAUUGCUCGUAAAAAGAGGAUAUAUAAAUACAAAUAAUGUUUAAAAGAUUAAAAUAAUCUUAAAUAUAGUAAAAGUAACUGUUCUAAUAGUUUUAUAAUAUGCACAAAUUAAUAUAUCACUUAUAUUUUAUAUAUAUUUUAUAAUAUAUAUAAAUAAUUAUUUAUAUAUUUAUAAUAUAUAACAAAUAAAUAUAUUUCAUAUAUGUAUGUGACAAAGACUUCCAUUAUUUAUAUUAAUAUAAUAUAAGAAAACUCAUUUAUACAUAUUUUAUUAUAUAUUCAUUUGUAUUAUAUUAAAAUUUAGACAGUUAUUCGAUGAAAAAAGUCUUAAUAUGAAUAAAUAAAAUAAUAUUUACGUUGUUAAGACCACAUAAAAGACAUGCUAAGUUGAAGAUUAGUGGACGACGCAUGAAUUUUUUCUUAAAAAAAAUUAAUAAUUUUUCUAAUUUGUUAUUUCAUUAAAAUAUUACAUACUUUAUAGAAUUUUAUUAACAUUAAUUUUAUUAAACUCUCACUUAUUUAAUUUGUACUUUUAUUAACUAAUUGUAAGUAUUUCUAUAAUUAAAUGGUCAAUAUAGAUAUAUGUAUAUAAAUAAUAUGGCCAAUAUAAAUAAUAAAGCAGGACUUAAU